AUACGGAGGGUGCAAGCGUUACUCGGAAUCACUGGGCGUAAAGCGCGCGCAGGCGGUCUUUUAAGUUGGAUGUGAAAGCCUACGGCUCAACCGUAGAACUGCAUCCAAAACUAUUAGACUAGAGUGUGGGAGAGGAAGAUGGAAUUAGUUGUGUAGGGGUAAAAUCCGUAGAGAUAACUAGGAAUACCAAAAGCGAAGGCAAUCUUCUGGAACACUACUGACGCUGAGGCGCGAAAGCGUGGGGAGCAAACAGGAUAGAAACCCCAGUAGUCC
rnacentral:rRNA from 1 species